UGACCUUAUUUAUUUAGGAGAAUGUUGCAAUGUUAUUUCCCAUGAAAGGAAAACAACCCAAGCCAUCAGACUCAUGAUGUAAUAUUUUUGUUACGAAGAAUUACCUCCAGCAAACGUUUAAUUGAAUGAAAAACAUUUGACCCACAGCAACACGCUUAUUUUUUUCCAGUCUAGUACCGAAUGGGGAUUUUUUAUCGUGACAUUUAAACUGUGGUACAGCGGAGGGAGGUCGCCAGCGGUGCGUGAACCCGAAAGAUUGCAGUCUUCCCUUGUGGGGGACCCCACAAACAUCGGCCUAACGUUUAUAUUUUCAGCGAGUUCUCAUUCUCGGUCCACAAAAGAAUGAAACCGCAGAAAGACACUGACGGACUUACUGAACACUUGCAGCAUUUUCUCGACAUAUUGACUAAAACGGAAUUUGGCUGUAAUCCUCAAGCAGGCCUGGAAACCUUUGGGGAGAGGAGUAAUUAAGGUUUCAAGUCGACGAUGGGUUAUCUGUCGUUUUAAUAUUGCUGAUGGACUCUACAUUCGCUAAAAUCCCUGAUAAUUAAUUAAUGGAAAAUUAAAUAUUAGUCUUGUAAUUCCAACUAUUUAUUUAGUCCUACGGCUUUUGGCUGAAAAGGGUAGAUAGAUUUUCCAGUUCCACAAGAUAUAAUAACGUGCAGAUUACUACGUGGUCUGGUCAAUUUUCCUGGCACCACUUCAUCCAAGGCACUGGGCUGAGGAAUGUAUUAUUCGAUGUUAUAUGUGCCUACAUUUGAAGUGAUUUUGUUCCAUUGUCCUGGUGUAUGUAUGUAAAAGCGGGCUUUAAAAGAUCAUCUUUUCCUGACGUUUGCCUGUUCAGAAGUGCUGUAUGACCAUAUGACCAAUAAAAUAUCUUUGAUGUUCAA